UUGCAAUUCCACUAGGAUAAACCGCCACUAAAAUCGCAUGCAAAACCACUAACUCAGAUAAACCGCUAGCACAAAGUUUUCUAUCUACUAACCUCGUCGUUGAUGACCCCAGCUAUAUGAGCAACUCCGUCCAACCGAUAUAGCCUUUCCGGAUCGUCUCCCAUCGGCUGAGUAUUCUGUUCGAGUCUUUGUCGGCUCGAAUCUGGGUCGUUUUCUCUGGGAUUUGGUGGGGUAUGAGAAUGGAAAAGUGAUUCGAAUGAGGCUGAUUCAAACUCCUUAUAUAGCCGAAAUCUAUGUAAUUCGAACCAACCCCAUUCGAAUUACUAUUUGAGGGAAAUUUUGAGUAAUUCGAACCAACUAAGUUCGAAUUACUUUGGGAAGCGUUCAAUGUGUAAUUCGAACCAAGCUAGUUCGAAUUAUGCUCCUUGGUAGUUCGAACCAUGUAGAUUCGAAUUAUGUAAAUCACGUGUUCCUUCGUAAUUCGAGUUAGGCUAGUUCGAAUUCCAAUGCUUCUUCCAAUUCCCCUGUUUUACGUACAGUGGCGUCAUAGUUUGUCCAGAAGGGUUGCACACUUGCACUGUUGUUUUCUUCAACUUCCGUAUUCUUCAUCAUUCCUCAUGUGGUUGACGAAGCGGCAGCGACUGUGGACUUCUUCUGCAUCUAAAUCCAAUUAUAUCGAGUCACAAAUCUUCCUUCCUUCCUUUUUAACAAAAUCAUAUUCUUCAAUUAUCCAUAUCUUCCUCUUUGGUACGUUGCUUUUCAGGGUUCAAGAACUGUUCGGCAUUGUGCAUAACGCCCUCAGUUCCACUUUAUUAAUUCUUUUGUUGCUCCUGAUAUCGCACAUCAUCACAAUGCAUGUCUUCUGCGAACACAUCUUCCCUGCAAAAUAUAGAUUUUGAGAUCUUUAAAAAAGGAUGCACAUAAUUAAGGAAAGAGAAUUCAUGGAAAGAUUAAGAAGGAAGCUCAUGAGAAGUUGAAGGUGAAAAGGAGUGAUGUUGUGCACUACAAUUAUCAUGAUGAAAGACGCAAAUGAAGAUUCUCAUGGACAAGAUAUUGGAUGCUUGAACUUUGUGUUACACUUGCUGAUAUGGCUAAGCUUGCUACAACAAAGAUUAAGAGGAACAUCAUCAAUUUUUUCAAAAGCUCAGACACUUGAGGACGGUCGUCAUUCCCCUAGGGAAGCCCAAAAACAAUUUAGGCUUUAAGAAGGGGUUUGCAGCUGGUUGGAGACUGAGUAUAUUCUUUUUUGACUUUGCUCAUAAUGUCCUCAACUCACUUGGCUUUCUCAAAGAGAAUCUCUAGGUGGCUACCUUCUCUAUUUAAGUGUUUUAUCUCUUCUCUCAUUUUAGUUUUGACUAAACUAUCUUCUCAUUCCUGUAGUUUUUUGCCAACGGAGUAUUUUUUUGGUGUUGUUGCCAAUUUUAUCUCUAAGAACCAACACUUGCUCUCACUUCUAGUGACAAGAUUAGAAAGGUAUAUAAAUGGAGUUUAUGAGUUGUGAACAAAAGGAGCGUGUUUCAUGGUGGGUGUUGAUGUUGUGCUUUUUAUGAAGAUAAGAAUGAUGUUGCUGUGCCGUUAUGUGAGGCUGCCGAGAUGAUCAAUGGUGAUGAUUAUGGGAUUCGACAGCAAAUAGGCAGUGAUAGCAGUUUCUAUGGCUCCAUAUAUUAUUCCAGAAGUACCCCUAAUAUGUGAAAAGAUUUUAAUUCACAAGGCGAAAGAAGGAGGCAUUGAUGUCAUUGGAACCUAUGUCUUUCGGAAUGUUCAUGAACUCCUGUUGCAUUUUGGACGAAUUUAACAGAAUUUGCGUGAAGAAACGAAGUCGCAGCAAAAUCAGGAGGUGGCGCCAAACUUGGAGAACAGGAGCACUACACUUUCCCAUUACAUGUGGUCUCAACGGCACCAAACUUGGGAUUCUCCAAGUUUGGCGCCACACACUCAGACUCCAGGAAUACAAGAAGUAGAUGAUGAAACCAAACUUGAGACAUCUCAAGUUUGGCGCCAGCUAAGGAAACCUUGAAGAUUUCAUACGGCCUCAACGACGCCUCCAAGUUUGGCGCCACCUUUAGCAUAUCAAGUGGUCCCCAUUCGUCCAAGUGAAAACUGCACGAA